CUCUGCCCUUUCUAAAGCGUUCAAAGAACUAUGACAUUCAGGAGGCGUUGGUCAUAUGCAAACAGGAAAACUUUUAUCCAGAAAUAGUCUACCUGCUAUGGUUGUAUGGGUAGAAGCGGCCGAAGCACUAAAUAUCAUUAUUCACCGCAUCAGAGACAUAGAAAUGGCCAUCGAGUUUUGCAAGGAGCACGAUGACAACGAUCUUUGGAAUGCACUUAUUAAUGAAUUUAGCAAUCAUCCUGAAAUCGUGACGAAAGUUUUGGACGGUAUAGUUGGUAACAUACUUUUCAAUGGUAACAUGUUCUAUUAUUCUUCUUUUUUUUUGUUUGCAUUAGACUACUUUAGCCCAGCGGUGGUUGUUGGAAAGAUAAAAAUGGGACAGAACAUUCCAAACCUACGACAAUCACUUAUUAAAAUGCUGUGGCACUACAAUCUUCAAGGUGAAAUUUUAUCCUCUGCCCAACAAAUUCAACUUAGUGACUAUUUUGAAAUUCACUCGGAGAUAGUCACCACGCAAAGACGAGGUCAGCAGGUUUCCAACGAACAAAUGUGCUCAUUGUGCCACCGUCCAGUACUGAUGGUAGGCACACACUUUAAUUGUAUAACCAGCUUUGAAUGUGGUCAUGUAUACCAUAAACCGUGCAUACAAGGUAAAUUGCAGAAAAAUUGCAAAGAGUGUAACCUUUGGAACUUAACCGUGGAGAAAUAGGUUCAUAUCGACAUCAUAACUAUUAUCCCGGCGUCCUGUUAGGGGAAUUAAGGAUAAUUAAACUUUAUAGCUUAAUUUCCUACGCCCAUUGUUUUCAAACGUAUAUUUCCCAAAUGAGUUAAACAAUUUCUUUCAAAUUUCAUAUCCUUGUAACUAUUAAAUUCCAUAACUAUUGAUGUUCAACACUUUUUCACUAAUAAGCUUAGUUUCAGCUAUUUUUUUUUUUGUUAACUUCAUUUUCAUUUUAAGAUGCGAAUAGGAGAAGUAAAUAAUAUAGUAAAGCAAGCGAGCGAGGGAGGUGUGCUAAACAAAAGAACAAAAAACCUUGAAUUUCUUUUUGGCGCAUUUUGGUGGCUAUAUCAUUAAGUGUAAUCGUUACUUGGUGUAUGUGUUUUGCGUUUUGUGGACGUGGAAAGGCGUGGACGUGGAUUCGGAACCAUUCCUUCUACCUGAUACAUCUUUUACAUCUAGACGUGAAUGGUUUGAUGAACCAGCUUUUACUGUUAUAGCAUCUACAGUUAUAGCAUAGUAUACUAAAGUAUACUAGAGUAUUUCCGACCAUAUAAAGUAUAUAUAUCUUGAUCAGGAUCAAUAGCCAAGUCGAACUGGCAAUAUCGGUCUGUCCGUAUGUUGAUAUUAACAAUCCAGAGCAUAGAAGCAAUUUUGUUUCCACGCCUGUAAACCGCCACGCCAACAGUGUUUUGAGAUUUUUUUAUAUUUUUAGUAGUCUUGUAAAUUUUUCUCAUUAUAUUCUUCAAUAUCUAUCGAUAUGCCAUAAAUAUUAUUAGCUGAGUAACGUGCAUCUGAUAGUCGAGGAACUCGACUAUAGUGUUAGGAGUCUUAAAUCAGGCAAUCAGUCAGUGAGCCGCGGUAUGAUUUCGGUCACUUUAAGUGACGGAGCCGAGCAAGGAGGCAAACCCACGACGAGGACGCAGAAGAGUGCGAGGACUCAACUUGGUCAGAAGGGACAGUGGAGACUUUGGUUAGCAAAGGUCUCUUUCGAGCCGGCAGAUGAUCCGUUGUUAGAGACGACAAGGGCCUGUCGUGGUCAGAAGAGACAGUAGAGUCAUUGGUCGGCAAAUGCGACAUAACGGACGAUACACCUGCACCACCAUAACAUCCUUAGUCCCUUUCGAGCCGGCACGGGGCCGCUGUCAAGGACGUCGCGUGACAACAAAGGAGGGACGACGAAGGAGUAACGCCGCGCAGCAGACGGCGAGGACUGUAGGAAUCCAUUAUCGAGUGGUAUCUUAAUAAAGCUAAUUUAAUCUAAAAUCCUGUAUUCUUCUUGGUCAAACAAAACAUACAUUUUGUGGGACGAACAAUCUCUCUGAGCUAGCCGUUGCAAUUCGUAGUCUGCAGAAUAUAUAAAAACAGUUCGUUACAAUAGCAAUUUCUCUUGUUUUUGACUAUGGAUUAUAAAAUAAUGUGCUGGUUAUGUAAAACCCAACGACCACGAAAAAAAACACAUAUCCAACUUUUAUCUUUUGGUUUCGGAAUAUUACUUCUCGAUCAAAUCCUAGGUUUUUUUAGCUGUUAAGUAGCCUGCAAAGUGGUUAUAUCAACAAAAAACAUCUUACUUAUUGCAUAAGUUCCAUCUUAUUAAUGAGGGCUACGUGGCGGCAUGAGUUGGGCCCUUGAUUUAGAUGACUUUCGUGGACUUUGCGGUUGCGGCAAGCACCCAUUACUUAGGACUCUUAAUCAGGAGCUGCUAGGCAUUUCUGGACAAAAAGCUAAGGACUGCACUUAAUAAGUUUUGCACAAAAGCUUGACUACAGGUCACAGAUUACAGAUCUAUUUUAAUUUAUUUUGUAAAACCUCAUAUUUGCCAAAUAAACUAGCGUCAAAGUUUUGAAACAUUUUAAA